ACGCUGGCGGCAGGCCUAACACAUGCAAGUCGAGCGGUAAAGAGAAGCUUGCUUCUCUUGAGAGCGGCGGACGGGUGAGUAAUGCCUAGGAAUCUGCCUGGUAGUGGGGGAUAACGCUCGGAAACGGACGCUAAUACCGCAUACGUCCUACGGGAGAAAGCAGGGGACCUUCGGGCCUUGCGCUAUCAGAUGAGCCUAGGUCGGAUUAGCUAGUUGGUGAGGUAAUGGCUCACCAAGGCGACGAUCCGUAACUGGUCUGAGAGGAUGAUCAGUCACACUGGAACUGAGACACGGUCCAGACUCCUACGGGAGGCAGCAGUGGGGAAUAUUGGACAAUGGGCGAAAGCCUGAUCCAGCCAUGCCGCGUGUGUGAAGAAGGUCUUCGGAUUGUAAAGCACUUUAAGUUGGGAGGAAGGGCAGUAACCUAAUACGUUAUUGUUUUGACGUUACCGACAGAAUAAGCACCGGCUAACUCUGUGCCAGCAGCCGCGGUAAUACAGAGGGUGCAAGCGUUAAUCGGAAUUACUGGGCGUAAAGCGCGCGUAGGUGGUUUGUUAAGUUGAAUGUGAAAUCCCCGGGCUCAACCUGGGAACUGCAUCCAAAACUGGCAAGCUAGAGUAGGGCAGAGGGUGGUGGAAUUUCCUGUGUAGCGGUGAAAUGCGUAGAUAUAGGAAAGAACACCAGUGGCGAAGGCGACCACCUGGGCUCAUACUGAC
rnacentral:rRNA from 1 species